rnacentral:rRNA from 1 species
GCACUACGGUGCUGAAGUAACAAAUGCCCUGCUUCCAGGAAAAGCCUCUAAGCAUCAGGUAACAUCAAAUCGUACCCCAAACCGACACAGGUGGUCAGGUAGAGAAUACCAAGGCGCUUGAGAGAACUCGGGUGAAGGAACUAGGCAAAAUGGUGCCGUAACUUCGGGAGAAGGCACGCUGGUGUGUAGGUGAAGUCCCUGCGGAUGGAGCUGAGACCAGUCGAAGAUACCAGCUGGCUGCAACUGUUUAUUAAAAACACAGCACUGUGCAAACACGAAAGUGGACGUAUACGGUGUGACGCCUGCCCGGUGCCGGAAGGUUAAUUGAUGGGGUUAUCCGUAAGGAGAAGCUCUUGAUCGAAGCCCCGG